rnacentral:antisense_RNA from 1 species
AACCAGAGGUCAUUCCCUCUCUCUGCUAAGUACCUGAUUGCCUUGCAAGAAGGAAGAGGUUUUAAAAGUUUUCAAAGCUAACAGGUGUCCAAAGGAGAUUACACCUGCAAAUCAGAUUUAUAAUGUACAACCUGAAACAUUCCAUUGAUGAUAAAUGAACUUAACUGAAACAGAAGCACAUGUUCUUGAACUGUGCCAGCAGAUUUUACAGUUUCUAGAGGAACCACAGAAUUCCUUCUGCUUGAGAAGUCAUUCAGAUAACCUAAACAGGUUACUGAGGUGUGGUUCUAACACUGUGUUUUAUUUUGAGGAGGAUAGUAGGGAAUAGAAGAAAAAGGAGGGGGCAAAUAGGAUUUUUAGCUGACAAGUAUUUUAUAAUUCUAAAUUUUAGCAUUUGCUUUGAUGCAUGUUUAAAGUUUCAAAUGAUGUUUACUGUGCAAAUGGACUUACUCACUUAAUCUACUAGUCCCAUGACAGAAGACUCACCAUGGACAUUGGUACAUGCUGGUUAACUGUAUUGACUUGGAUUUACAAAGUGUGAUAACGAACUAAUACAGACAGCAUGACAUCAUUGUGUGGAUACACAUUAGCAAGCUUGAAGACUACAGGAAAUAAAACUGGAAAG